rnacentral:pre_miRNA from 1 species
UCACGUGUUGCACCUUCCCAUCCGGCAUACGGUAUCGGCGAUGGCAGUUGUACCACGUGGGA